AACUACUUCGCCAUCUAUGACGUUAUUUGCAUUCAUGGAAAAUAAUGUGGGUGUUAUUACUAAUAAUGAGAUUAUUGAAACAGAAUCUGUCGGGUCAGCUACUUAUUCAUAAUAUAAAUAAAUAAAAACGCUCUUAUUUCUACUAUUUUCCAAUACCUAUUACUUACAAUUAACUAAAUUACACUAAAUUAACUAUAAUAAAUAAAUUAAGUAGUAGUUGCCUCUACGGCUAAGGCCUCCCCUAAGCCUUUCCAAUACGCUUCACCUCUGGCUCUUCUCAUCCAGUCAGGUGCAACUCUUUGAGUGAAAAUAUCACUCCAUCUUCUCUUUUGUCUCCCUAUUUGUCUAGAGUCUAGAGCCUUCCCAUGGUAUCCAUUCCGUAACUCUUUUCGUUCAUUCUUUUUUCUUUUCUUAAUAUAUUCAAGACUAAAUAACUUUUCGUCUAUUACUUCAGCUUUCCCUUCUGCAAUGCAGGCUAUUGACUACGCUGAUAAUAUAAACUCAAGAAAAGUUUUCGAUCGAUUACUUAUAUUGAUGCGUACGUACACCGAAGAAGCGAAAAUUAGAGUGAAUGAAAUGAAUUCAUACAGGGCUUUGUAUGAUAAGACUCCACAGUUUGAGAUGGGUUACGUGAUGUGUGAGAUUAUUUCUCGAUAUCGUUCUAUGGUAGAUAUUGCAAAUGGAAAUAUUCCAAAUAUCACAAGGCACCAAAUAUAUCUAUUUGGUGCUAUCAAAGAAUUAGAACUAAUACAAGCACUGCAUUUUGAAAUAUACCAUUUAGUUAAUAUGCUUCACGAAUUACCAAAUAAAUAUCAUGGAGUUCCAUUUGUUCCUGUUGGCGAGGAGGGUUACAAUAAUUCUUUGAUUCUAAACGCAGCAGAGAAGAUCCAAAAGAACAUCUUGGAAAGGGAAAAGGCAAGAAAGAAAAGCAAAAAGGAAAGGGAUAAACUAAGGAAGCAAUACCUUGCAAGUUUCGGAAGUGUUUCAAUAAACGGUAGUCAUUCAAUAAGUCAAACGAAAAAACCAUACAAUAAAUUUUGGCCAAUUGAUUAUGGUUGGGAAAUUGAUUACUAUUGGUAGACACAUAUUUAUUAAUUACAAAAAUUUUAUUUAUUUUAAAGUG